UGCCUCAUGCCGCCACCGUGGGCACAGCCACGACGAUCUCCCCCUGUCCAACACCAUUGCACCCUCACCCAGCUGUUAGGAUGGCCGUGUAAGAUGGCUUCCUUGGCAAAGCUCUGGCCAUGGACGCAUGCGCGCGAAGAAACGAUUAUUAUCUGAACUGUGGCUUCCUUUUCUAUUAUCUCAUUUGCGUGGAUGGAGAGAUGGCUAGGGAAUUUCAGUCUCAAUUUCGUUCGCGCUUCUUUGUCCCGAUGAAUUGCACUGCCAUGCUCUAAGUAAUUGUCCUGCCUAGUCUAUUUGGCCGCACUUCACUAUGCGGCUCCGGGCAGUCUGCCAUGCAUAGCCUGGAGUUCAACUGCGCCUCCCCCCAGCAGUUACGAGUCCACCAUGCUCCUUGCACCGAACUGGCCCGGCUUCCUCUGAAACUCUUCCCUAGACGACAAUAUGAAGGCUUGUUCUCGUAAUCGUCCGUCUCAGCCAGCACCUAGCAUUUUUAUGAUAAUAAUCUGAAGUUGAUGUCCUAUUUCUCCUAACAAUCUCUGUAUGAAUGAAAAAAUAGGGCAGUACAAGUGCAUUCCCGUUGGCAGUGCUAUCAAGGGCAGUACAUCUGUGAUUGCAGAGCGUAAUUAUAUAGACCCCAAAAAGGAGGCAGUGAGUUCGGGUGAAUGUUUAUUUCCAACGACCAUGUAGUUGCUGCAUCAUGUGAUUAUAUUUGCUUGUGCGUGCGAGUUUCUUCUGAACAUGUGCAUCCUUGUGCUUGCAUAGAGCUAGUUACAUUUGUCCCAUAAAUUGUUAAAUCUUACAGUGUAGUUGCAAUUGACUGUGACCUGCUGUCUUGGUAGAUUCUAUCCGUGUUGAUGUUGAAACUUCGUACAAAAUGAAUACAUUUGGCGAGAAGUACAAGUCAUCCUCCGUCGGCAGUACAAGCACAUUUUCAGUUUGCCAUGAGAUCGCGGCUAAAAAAUUCUUUUGUUGCCCCCAAUACUGCCUACAACAGCACAUGGUAUGCUUCAUGCAUGGCUGGCCGGCUAUUUAUCUACCUCUUGCAUUGGUAGUUUUUAAUUUUUUUAGUUCGUUAUGUAUUGGUACGGCGCUCACUGAAAACUCCUAAUGAUUGCAGGGAUUCGGCCUUAAAGGCAGCUAUAUGAAGCACUCAACAGCAUGUGAUCCUAAUCCGGCAAGUUCUUUCGAGCCCGAAACUAAAUCAUGUUGUGCUCAUUUCUUUGCGUCCCCUUGUGUGUAUGUAGGAGGAACUAUCCGGUGAUUAUGAGACCAGGAAGUCUGCCCGAUGAAGUAGCUAGUUUGACCAGCGGGCACGUUUGAUGGACAUUGCUUAGGUACAACAAUGGGAGCAUACGACUCCUGCUGAUGUUGUUGCCAAGGAUAGAGACGAGAAACUGGUUGUUAGCGCGUAUGCAUGGACUGUGCCGAGUUUCCGCAAAGAUUACACGUCCGGGCGGUCACUUGUUCAGUUUCUCUCCUUGGUUGUUGUGGUGCCAGGCGCGUAUGCAUGGACCGUGCCGAGUUUGUUGCUGCUACACUAUCUCAAUUUUGUAUGCUGCUGCUA